UAAUUGAAGAGUUUGAUCAUGGCUCAGAUUGAACGCUGGCGGCAGGCCUAACACAUGCAAGUCGAACGGUAGCAGGAAGUGCUUGCACUUC
rnacentral:ncRNA from 1 species